AUCCAGUGGUGUGGAAUCCUUGGGAUAAGAAGGCAAAGGCUAUGGCUGAUUUGGAGAUGAUGAGUACAAACAUAUGCUCUCUGCAGAGGCUGCUGAUAUUGAGAGACCUAUCACAUUGAAAACUGAAGAGGAGUGGAGAGGGGGGCAGGAGCAAGGCAUAUCUCAGUGCAAUUAAUUCUCAUAUACCUGUAUAUUCAUGACGUCAAGCAAGCAGAAAAAUGCUACAAUGAUUGCUCCCAGGUCGAUGCUUUUUUGGGCAAUGGUCAUGGCUGAUGUGCUAGUAAACUUCUUUCCUCAUACACAGAAGGUGAUAUUAAGGAAAUCAAACGACUUGCUUAGUCAAGCACAGUUUCUCAUCUUGAUCACAUGGUCAUCAGACUCGCCAGGAAACUGCCUAUAGGUGAUGUCAGUGGACUAAAGACAAAUGCGUCCAAGGAGCAAGAAGAAUUGGAUGAAGAUGACCUUACAUAGCCUCGAGAGUGAUAUUGUCAUACAUACCCUCUUUUACAAUGUGUUGAUCUCAGUAGAUUCUUAUACAUGGAAUUUUCGAGUGGGUUUUUCUAUGAAAAAGAGCUUGCCUUGUAAUGUAAAACCACAUUUCCUUGGCAUGUUUAGUAUUAGCUCUCUGUGU